GAGGGGUAUAUUUCUUCGGAGAUAGAGACCGGCGCACGGGUGCGUAACGCGUAUGCAAUCUACCUUUUACAGAGGGAUAGCCCAGAGAAAUUUGGAUUAAUACCUCAUAGUAUAGCUCUACCGCAUGGUAGUACUAUUAAAGUCACAACGGUAAAAGAUGAGCAUGCGUCCCAUUAGCUAGUUGGUAAGGUAACGGCUUACCAAGGCUACGAUGGGUAGGGGUCCUGAGAGGGAGAUCCCCCACACUGGUACUGAGACACGGACCAGACUCCUACGGGAGGCAGCAGUGAGGAAUAUUGGACAAUGGGCGCAAGCCUGAUCCAGCCAUGCCGCGUGCAGGAUGACGGUCCUAUGGAUUGUAAACUGCUUUUAUACGAGAAGAAACACUGCUUCGUGAAGCAGCUUGACGGUAUCGUAAGAAUAAGGAUCGGCUAACUCCGUGCCAGCAGCCGCGGUAAUACGGAGGAUCCAAGCGUUAUCCGGAAUCAUUGGGUUUAAAGGGUCCGUAGGCGGUUUAAUAAGUCAGUGGUGAAAGCCCAUCGCUCAACGGUGGAACGGCCAUUGAUACUGUUAAACUUGAAUUAUUAGGAAGUAACUAGAAUAUGUAGUGUAGCGGUGAAAUGCUUAGAGAUUACAUGGAAUACCAAUUGCGAAGGCAGGUUACUACUAAUGCAUUGACGCUGAUGGACGAAAGCGUGGGUAGCGAACAGGAUUAGAUACCCUGGUAGUCCACGCCCGUAACGAUGGAUACUAGCUGUUGG
rnacentral:rRNA from 1 species